rnacentral:lncRNA from 1 species
CUUCUAAUAUGCAAUUCCCGAAUGGGAACAGACUUGAAACCCUUCUUUUCCUAGCAUUUCAGCCCAGGCGGCUUCCCUCUAUAUUAAUAAGUUCUUUCGAGCAAUCACUGAUGUAGGUAGGGCUGGUGCGAGAAGAGAUUGUCUUAUGCCAGAAAAGAGGUGCUCCAUGUCGAAGGCAAAAAGAGGUGCUUAUCAAACAGGUGGUCC